rnacentral:misc_RNA from 1 species
AACCUUAUGGACCUGCGGGCGUAUACCUGCGGAAGGAUCAUUACCUUUGGCUGCCGUGAACGCUUCGGCGCGAGCGACAGUCAUUCUACAGCGAUGUCUCGUGUCCGGGAAACCGGCUCGGGGCUGACCUAACCCUUCUUUACGUGUACCUUUUAUUCUCCUUCGGCGGGCUCACACCCGCCGCUGGAACUUCAAAACCCAUUUGCAUUUAGCAUUAACUGUUCUGAUAACAUAUAAUUG